UCCAGACUCCUACGGGAGGCAGCAGUGGGGGAUAUUGCACAAUGGGGGGAACCCUGAUGCAGCGACGCCGCGUGGGUGAAGGAGCGUUUCGGCGCGUAAAGCCCUAUCGGCAGGGAAGAAGGAGGACGGUACCUGACUAAGAAGCCCCGGCUAACUACGUGCCAGCAGCCGCGGUAAUACGUAGGGGGCAAGCGUUAUCCGGAUUUACUGGGUGUAAAGGGGGCGCAGACGGCAGCGCAAGCCAGGAGUGAAAGCCCGGGGCCCAACCCCGGGACUGCUCUUGGAACUGCGCGGCUGGAGUGCAGGAGGGGCAGGCGGAAUUCCUGGUGUAGCGGUGAAAUGCGUAGAUAUCAGGAGGAACACCGGUGGCGAAGGCGGCCUGCUGGACUGCGACUGACGUUGAGGCCCGAAAGCGUGGGGAGCAAACAGGAUUAGAUACCCGCGUACAU
rnacentral:rRNA from 1 species